GACGAACGCUGGCGGCGUGCUUAACACAUGCAAGUCGAACGAUGAACUUGGAGCUUGCUCUGGGGGAUUAGUGGCGAACGGGUGAGUAACACGUGAGUAACCUGCCCUGGACUCUGGGAUAACUUCGAGAAAUCGGAGCUAAUACCGGAUAGGACCUUGCACCGCCUGGUGUGGGGUGGAAAGUUUUUCGGUUUGGGAUGGACUCGCGGCCUGUCAGCUUGUUGGUGGGGUAAUGGCUCACCAAGGCGUCGACGGGUAGCCGGCCUGAGAGGGUGACCGGCCACACUGGGACUGAGACACGGCCCAGAGUCCUGCGGGAGGCAGCAGUGGGGAAUAUUGCACAAUGGGCGCAAGCCUGAAGCAGCAACGCCGCGUGCGGGAUGACGGCCUUCGGGUUGUAAACCGCUUUUAGUAGGGAAGAAGCCUUCGGGUGACGGUACCUGCAGAAAAAGGACCGGCUAACUACGUGCCAGCCGCCGCCGUAAAAC
rnacentral:rRNA from 1 species